rnacentral:rRNA from 1 species
GAUGAACGCUGGCGGCGUGCCUAAUACAUGCAAGUCGAGCGAACAGAUGAGGAGCUUGCUCCUCUGACGUUAGCGGCGGACGGGUGAGUAACACGUGGAUAACCUACCUAUAAGACUGGGAUAACUUCGGGAAACCGGAGCUAAUACCGGAUAAUAUAUUGAACCGCAUGGUUCAAUAGUGGAAGACGGUUUUGCUGUCACUUAUAGAUGGAUCCGCGCCGCAUUAGCUAGUUGGUAAGGUAACGGCUUACCAAGGCAACGAUGCGUAGCCGACCUGAGAGGGUGAUCGGCCACACUGGAACUGAGACACGGUCCAGACUCCUACGGGAGGCAGCAGUAGGGAAUCUUCCGCAAUGGGCGAAAGCUUGACGGAGCAACGCCGCGUGAGUGAUGAAGGUCUUCGGAUCGUAAAACUCUGUUAUUAGGGAAGAACAAAUGUGUAAGUAACUAUGCACGUCUUGACGGUACCUAAUCAGAAAGCCACGGCUAACUACGUG